UAAAUUAGCAAAAGCAUCACCAGCAGGUCAAGGGAGGUCAUUCUUCCUGUCUACUCAGCACUGGUGAGACACUUGCAUGGGACUGCCUCCAGCUCUGGGCUCCCCAGUGUAGUGAAAUCAGAAGGCAACACAACUGGUACCAGGUACAAGACUAAGACUGCUAUGACUUGCUUUGGAGAUGAAAUCAGAAGAUAGGUUAAUAUAUGCAUCAACAAAGAAUCCAAACCCGAAGUGAAUAAAGUAGUGAGCAACUUGUUCUAGAGAACCCUGUUCUGAGCAGGAAGUUAGACUACAUGAUCUUCAGAAGUGCCUUCAACCUCAACAAUUUCAGGCUCCUGUAACAAACCUUACGGAAAUAUACAGAAGCAUUUCUGUAUUCAUUUACACCUCUACCUAGAUAUAUCCAAGUUUCUUGUCUUGGAAAUGCCUUUUUCCUUAUUAGUUUGAUGACAGUAGAGCAGCUUCUAUACCUGUCACCUCCAUCACUCCCACCGUCUGCAGAAACUCUUCCCAACAGUGUCUCCAAAAAAGAGGGAAUGUCUUUUUGUGCAUGACUUAUUUUAGUCUUAUCCUAAUAUAGAAAUGCUGAUUUUAGGCGUUGUUAUUAAUCUCCUAAGAAACCCAUUGAAACCACAACCUUAAAAUAUGUUAAAUUCUAAAAGAGAAAGCUAUUUCAGAUAAGAUGUUCCAACUCAUUAAUUCCAGACUGAAAAGAAAGAUGUGCAGAAGUUAUUUCUACUACCCCUCUGUCGAGGUGAUCUACUUUUCACAUUAAAACACCCAGACCACUGCAGACAAUGAGCAUACCCUGCUGUUAUAAAGGAUUUAAUUAAUGACCAUUGUUCUGGAGACAUUCUACAGUCAAGUUGAACAAUAACAGAAAAUAGCUCUGGACUCUUUCAUCUGUGCCUCUUCUGCACCAAACUCCACUCACCAAGACAGAA